rnacentral:tRNA from 1 species
GUAAUGGUGCUUCAGUGGCAGAAUUCUCGCCUUCCGUGUGAGAGACCCAGGUUUGAUUCCUGGCCAACGCA